rnacentral:rRNA from 1 species
UACGUAGGGGGCAAGCGUUGUCCGGAAUUAUUGGGCGUAAAGAGCGCGUAGGCGGUCCGAUAAGUCGGCUGUGAAAGUCAUGGGCUCAACCCAUGAAAGCCGGCCGAUACUGUCGGACUAGAGUCCGGAAGAGGCGAGUGGAAUUCCCGGUGUAGCGGUGAAAUGCGCAGAUAUCGGGAGGAACACCGGUGGCGAAGGCGGCGACCUGGGUUGACACUGACGCUGAGGCGCGAAAGCGUGGGGAGCAAACAGG